GACUGCCUACGGGACGCAGCAGUAGGGAAUCUUCCACAAUGGGUGAAAGCCUGAUGGAGCAAUGCCGCGUGGGUGAAGAAGGUCUUCGGAUCGUAAAACCCUGUUGUUAGAGAAGAAAGGGCGUGAGAGUAACUGUUCACGUUUCGACGGUAUCUAACCAGGAAAGCCACGGCUAACUACGUGCCAGCAGCCGCGGUAAUACGUAGGGGGCAAGCGUUAUCCGGAUUUAUUGGG
rnacentral:rRNA from 1 species